rnacentral:rRNA from 1 species
GAGUUUGAUCCUGGYUCMGAUUGAACGCUGGCGGCRGGCCUARCAYAUGCAAGUCGAGCGGAUGAAKAGAGCUUGCUCUCUGAUUCARCGGCGGACGGKUGAGUAAUGCCUAGGAAUCUGCCUGAUAGKGGGGGACAACGUUUCGAAAGGAACGCUAAUACCGCAUACGUCCUACGGGAGAAAGCAGGGGACCUUCGGGCCUUGCGCUAUCMGAUGAGCCUAGGUCGGAUUAGCUAGUUGGUGAGGUAACGGCUCWCCAAGGCGACGAUCCGURACUGGUCUGAGAGGAWGAUCAGUCWCACUGGAACUGAGACRCKGUCCASACUCCUACGGGAGGCAGCWGUGGGGAAUUUUGCGCAAUGGGGGAAACCCUGACGCAGCAACGCCGCGUGAGUGAUGAAGGCCUUCGGGUCGUAAAGCUCUGUCAGAGGGAAAGAAAUGUGGGWGGCUAAUAUCCAUUCCACUUGACGGUMCCCUCAAAGGAAGYACCGGCUAACUC